rnacentral:rRNA from 1 species
AUUGAACGCUGGCGGCAGGCCUAACACAUGCAAGUCGGGCGAGAGGCGGACGGGUGAGUAAUGUAUGGGGAUCUGCCUGAUGGCGGGGGAUAACUACUGGAAACGGUCGCUAAUACCGCAUACCAUCAGAUGAACCCAUAUGGGAUUAGCUAGUAGGUAAGGUAACGGCUUACCUAGGCGACGAUCCCUAGCUGGUCUGAGAGGAUGAUCAGCCACAUUGGGACUGAGACACGGCCCAGACUCCUACGGUAGGCAGCAGUGGGGAAUAUUGCACAAUGGGCGCAAGCCUGAGGCAGCCAUGCCGCGUGUAUGAAGAAGGCCUUCGGGUUGUAAAGUACUUUCAGUCGGGAGGAGUGACCGACAGAAGAAGCACCGGCUAACUCCGGGCCAGCCGCGGCGGUAAUUC